GGGCCCGCACAAGCGGUGGAGUAUGUGGUUUAAUUCGAUGCAACGCGAAGAACCUUACCAGGGUUUGACAUCCUGCGAACCUCUUGGAAACGAGAGGGUGCCUUCGGGAACGCAGUGACAGGUGGUGCAUGGCUGUCGUCAGCUCGUGUCGUGAGAUGUUGGGUUAAGUCCCGCAACGAGCGCAACCCACGUCUUUAGUUGCCAGCAUUUAGUUGGGCACUCUAGAGAGACCGCCGGUGAUAAACCGGAGGAAGGUGUGGAUGACGUCAAGUCAUCAUGCCCCUUACAUCCUGGGCUACACACGUACUACAAUGCUACGGACAAAGGGCAGCAAGUUCGCGAGGACAAGCA
rnacentral:rRNA from 1 species